GAUGAACGCUGGCGGCGUGCCUAAUACAUGCAAGUCGAGCGAACAGACGAGGAGCUUGCUCCUCUGACGUUAGCGGCGGACGUGUGAGUAACACGUGUAUAACCUACCUAUAAGACUGGUAUAACUUCGGGAAACCGGAGCUAAUCCCGUAUAAUCUCUUGAACCGCAUGGUUCAAUAGUGAAAGACGGUUUUGCUGUCACUUAUCGAUGGAUCCGCGCCGCAUUAGCUAGUUGGUAAGGUAACGGCUUACCAAGGCAACGAUGCGUAGCCGACCUGAGAGGGUGAUCGGCCACAUGGGAGCUGGGACACGGACCAGACGCCUACGGGAGGCAGCAGUAGCGAACCUGCCGCAGUGGUCGAAAGCCUUACGGAGCAGCGCCGCGUGAGUGAUGAAGGUCUUCGGAGCGUAAAACUCGGUUAUUAGUGAAGAACAAAUGUGUAAGUAACUAUGCACGUCUUGACGGUACCUAAUCAGAAAGCCACGGCUAACUACGUG
rnacentral:rRNA from 1 species